AUUGAACGCUGGCGGCAUGCUUUACACAUGCAAGUCGAACGGCAGCGCGGGCUUCGGCCUGGCGGCGAGUGGCGAACGGGUGAGUAAUGCAUUGGAACGUGCCCAGUAGUGGGGGAUAGCCCGGCGAAAGCCGGAUUAAUACCGCAUACGACCUGAGGGUGAAAGCGGGGGACCGAAAGGCCUCGCGCUAUUGGAGCGGCCGAUGUCGGAUUAGCUAGUUGGUGGGGUAAAGGCUUACCAAGGCGACGAUCCGUAGCUGGUCUGAGAGGACGACCAGCCACACUGGGACUGAGACACGGCCCAGACUCCUACGGGAGGCAGCAGUGGGGAAUUUUAGACAAUGGGGGCAACCCUGAUCCAGCCAUGCCGCGUGCGGGAAGAAGGCCUUCGGGUUGUAAACCGCUUUUGUUCGGGAAGAAAUCCUCUGGGCUAAUACCCCGGGGGGAUGACGGUACCGGAAGAAUAAGCACCGGCUAACUACGUG
rnacentral:rRNA from 1 species